CGAUACUCUUCCCGGUAAUGCGGACACAAGUAAUUGGGAUCCAGUGGAUUGUCCCCCAAUGAGGAACUCUGGGAGCGAUGCGCCAUGUUGGAAUGGGGUAAACAACCUGAGAAACAGAAAGUUUCCAAUACAUACUCCUCUUAGUGGUCCCACCCACAAUUCUCCUCUCCUGCUGUAAUAUCACACCUGUGUAUCAUGUGACACAAGUGUGUGUGUUCACUACUCACUGGAUGGGUUAGGUCAUAUUCCAAGUAUGGCAUGCCCUGCUACUAGACAGGCUGUUAAGCUCCGUCUCUGUUCCUUGGACCGUCUAUGCAAACAUACUAGUCCUGCUACAUCAAUUGACCAAAGGAAUGCAACACAGCAAUGAGCUGCAUGGCCAAUGCACAGUAGCAUUGUAUCUCUACACAAUAGCACAAAGUAUGUUUCCUUCCUUUUAUGCGAUGUGGUCCACAAAUCAUAUAACGUGACAGGGACUUUAGAAUGUAAGUGGUAAAGCAGAUCAAUUCACUUGUGAAACCUGUAUUGUUGAAUACAUAGAUGGCUUUACAGCUGUUUUUCAUGUGAGAUAUACUGAUAUAGAUUGCUGUAGGUCUGUCUGAAAGUAACCCUUGCUCUGACCCCUGACCUUGAUAAGGUUGUAUUAUCCCUUCAAAGCGUUUAAGAUGCCAAAUCAUCUGAAGAAGGCAAAGGGUGAGUGUUUUGGUGCUUAUGAAUAGAUACACCAUCAGUGAUAACCCUUACAACUACCCACCCCAUGUCUUUCAAGCUCUGCCCCAGAUGUUUCCCCAGGACAUGCAGCAUUCUGUCGGCUUCCUGUGACUACUUCCAAGCAGGACAUGACUGUGUCUUGAAGGAGUGACAUACUAUUUAUUAUUAUUAAUAUGUAUACUUACAUAAAGUACAAAAGUGGAAGUAUGUUAAUUACGUAAUGGUCAGAAAAUGUUAAACAAAUUCAAACUGUUUUUAGUAACCCCCCUUUGCCCUUAUUGCAGCUCCACAUAGUCUAUACCUUUUCUCAACCAACCUCAUUAUUUUUCUGACUGGGAUACAAAAUGAUCCAUGCUUUUCCAAGUAUUAUUUUGUCCCUUGUAUGUACAAAAACAUUUUCUGCUGUAAUGUACAUACAAGUCAAAUAAAUUACUAAUAAAAAUAACUUGUCAGUAAUAGAUUAUACAGUGACAUGUCUGGUAACCCUCUGUAGUUAAAAAUUACCGCUUUAUAAAAUAGUCUGCAGUGGUGGUGUAUUCAAAGUGAAACUGGUUAGAAUGAGGAAAAAAGCCCAGAAAAAAGGAAAACGGCGCCCCCUGGUGUUCAAUAUUAUUUGUACUUAGACACAUCUUGCCUUAUAUAUAUGUAGUAUCUAUUUAAAUUUGUGGUGUUUCAUGUAGAAUAUGAAUUGUAUAAAACAAUACUUUCACAGUAUUGUGUGCCUGCGUGUAAGCCACAAUUAUAUACACGCCAUGAAUCCCAAAAGGGUUCUUUAAAAAUUUUUGGUCACUUUUACAUAAAACUAUUCCAUUGAGGCCGUCAGAAAGUGCAAUACACGAACCAUAUCCGAAAUGGAAAAAUAUAAACGUUGUUAUUUUUUUAUCAGUGCACAAUUAUAUAUCAAUCUUAAAUAUAUUAGUAUUUUUCUCGAUUUUAAAACCUAGAAAUUUAAACCGGAUGUGACGUUUCGCCUGAAAGAUUCGGCCAUUUUUUGAGUGGCAUCUUUAUUUCUAAAAUAAUGUAUUUAAUGAAUCCUAUAAUUAAUUCGCUAGAGAUACUAUUUAUAUAUUUAUAAUGUUCACUAAACUUUGUCGAAUUUUUUUCUAAACUCUGUUUUGUGCUCCUAUUUGUAAACUGUAAAAUCGACGACUCGUGUUUGCGGGGCGGAAAUGUGAAAUGUUGU